rnacentral:lncRNA from 1 species
AGAUCAAAUUGUGUUGAUAGUUAAGAGAGGUUGAAAGGACUUUUUCCGCCCAUAUAUAUCACCUGGGGUGGCCGCACGCCCAGAUUAUGUCCGCCCACCAAGCCAAAAAAAAUACUGAAGCCAAAAAGGGAGGGGGACGUGAAAUCUACGGCAAGCAAAGCGUACGUCCCUGGGCACGUAGUUGCUGUGCAAUCACCGUACAUUUAGAGCGGGGCUCUCCCCUUAUUUUCUCGUCUCAUGGAUGCAGUGCAAUUCCCUUGUCACAUUUGCAGCGCCAGCGUACCUGCAGGCUGCUGCACCGAACCUCGCAUGCAGAUACAGUAUAUGAUGAAUGCUGACGGGUUUGGUUGGUCAGUGUCCGUCUUGCUUGCACGGCAUGCGUACGCAUCACACAGCUCAUGAGCUCAUCGGAAUCUGACGCCAACCGCUAAUGUCAGGAUGCAGGUGCAACAGCAGCAGCAGAUCGCUCUGGUUCC